rnacentral:lncRNA from 1 species
CAACCCCACCCCCUCCAAUGUAGUUUUCUUCAAAUUCACCAUUAACACCACAUGCAUGCUUAGGAUUCAAGAAGAAUAAACACCUUCUACCUUAUUAACAAGUUUAGUGAAGAAGAUUAUACAUUGGGUCUGCCGUUAAGAAGUCCCACAUCGGUUGCGAGAUGGCCUGACUAAGUGUUUAUAUACUAGAGGCAAUCCUCACCUUACAAGCCGGUUUUGUAAGGAUGAGUUAGGCCCAAUACUCAUUUCUAAGAUGGUAUCAGA